CAGUAGCCGCGGUAAUACAGAGGGUGCGAGCGUUAAUCGGAUUUACUGGGCGUAAAGCGUGCGUAGGCGGCUUCUUAAGUCGGAUGUGAAAUCCCUGAGCUUAACUUAGGAAUUGCAUUCGAUACUGGGAAGCUAGAGUAUGGGAGAGGAUGGUAGAAUUCCAGGUGUAGCGGUGAAAUGCGUAGAGAUCUGUAGGAAUACCGAUGGCGAAGGCAGCCAUCUGGCCUAAUACUGACGCUGAGGUACGAAAGCAUGGGGAGCAAACAGGAUUAGAUACCCCAGUAGUCCCUGUCUCUUAUAC
rnacentral:rRNA from 1 species